UUUAUGCAUCAACUCUCAGCUGAAUUAACACCCCGGCUUUCAAUUCAUUGUCUUGUACAAAAUCAUAACUCUGCUACUGGGAGGGCUGAGAGAAGUGAGGAGUCUCUCUCCUUGAUUCAGACAAACCAAAACUAACCUGCUCUCCUUUACCAAUCUGUUUCCUAAUUUUGUCUAAAACCAUGAGGCAGUUUAUGAACCUCCAUGAACUGGGUAAGAAGGUAGGUUAGGCCACCCAUCCUCAGUCUGCCAGUUAAAUAAGCAAUGAUGAAAAGCAGGAGAGAGAGAGAGAGAGAGAGAGAGAGAGAGAGAGAGAGAGAGAGAGAGAGAGAGAGAGAUUCAAUCAAUGUGGCCACAUUGGGAAGAGCGACAAGGAGAUUAAGCUCCCUCCCAAAAUCCAUCUUUGGGGUCCUGACAGGAGACUCUGGCUUAAAUCUAGGGCAAGAGACACAUGUAUAACUACACAGCUCUGGUAAGGGUAUGACCCUGCCCAUCACUAACCCGCCAUUGUCCGGUUUCCAGUCUGUCCUCUGAGGUGGUUUUCUGAUAGGUUUUCAGAACUGUCAAUCUCUUUGCUUGGAGACAAGCCCCUCUUCCAGCUGGCACCAGGCUUCAGCCUUUUCCUUUUCUCCUGGGGCAUGGUAAUGUCUCAGGGUCCACUGCUUCAGUAGUCUCAUAGCCAAAGGAAGGGGACAGGGAUCUGCAGAGAACCCCUUCAUUUAUGCCAGUUACAGAAUGACAGCAGAGUGUGCCAGACUAACUCCAGUCAGCGUGGUGGGUCUAGCCAGCCUAGGAAAGCUCUCGGGAACAUAGUAAGUCCAUCACCACCCUAGGCUGAGUCCUUUGCCUUGAGGAAAUCACAGAAACGCAUGGUCACAGAGAUCCAUGGUCACAGGGCUGCAUGGGCAGAAACUGUUAGGUUUUAGGCUGGGGAAGGGGUGAGGUUUGAGCAAGCAGUACAGAGCAGAAAUGUCCUUCAGACCGGCUGGCAAUAUGGGCUGGUGGAGUGUGAAGGACAAAGAGCUUCAAUCUGGCCAGGGAAAGCAGAUCCAGCUCAUGUAAUGAUUCACGUGAGGGAAGAGAAGAGAGGAGACAUGUUUUGUAGAGGUCAGCUGGGGUCACCAAACUAGACUAAGAGGCACUGUGUUUGCUUGUAUUUCUAUCAGAGGUAGGUGUUUGGGGUGUCUCAAGGACAUGUCUGGAAGAACAAUAGGCCUGGCUAGUUUGUGAAGGACAGUGGUAGCCAGUCCUGUCUGUAGCCCUUCUCCAUUUAGGGAUUUGACUUCCGGAAGAGCCUGCUCCAACAGAAAAGCUAUGUCUAGGCAACAGGUUCCCUACUUAUGUGACCUGAGAGAAACAACAGGAGAAUCCUAGUUCUAGAGGUCAAAGGUGGACCCUGUGCCUGGGCCUUGAGCCAAGGCAGAAAUAUUUUUCUCACUUAUGUAGCUUCAUUUGGUUAACUUUUAUUUUUAUAUUUAAUCUUCGGCUGUUCUAGGGCUUGAACCCAGUGCCUUGCAUGCAUUAAGUAACUACUCUAACACCUUAGAUACGGUCUUAAGUUUUGGGAUUGUUUUGGGCUUACAGUCCUCUGAUAUCAUAUUCCAUAACCACUGAACACUAGUCACAGCAAUGGAGUAAACACUAGUACCAGGCCAGUGAGUGGACUGUAAAUGCUAUUUGAAAACCACCAGUUUCAUAGGUAGCAUCCUUCCUCCUGCUCCAGGAUCCCAUCCAGGGUAUAUGACAUCCUGGGUGACACCCACAAGAAUGUCUCCAGGGCUGUGAAGAGGCUGAAGGUGGCAGGGAUGCCCCAGAGUCACAUAGGGUGAAGAUGAACUCAUAGGGGGAGCAUCUGCUUGAUUUGGGGUGCUCAGCAAGUCCUAUGAUGAAAUCAGUGCUUUCUGAGAGGUGGGGAAUCUAGUGUCCACUAGCAGGGACCUUAAAGGGCGAUCAGGUGGCAUGCUGAUUGUUAGGUCCUAGGUACAAUGUAAAGGCCCGGGUAACAAUUACCUGGCUAGGCUGCCAUUACACGGAAACUUUCUUAUGUUUCUGCUGUUACCAGGAAACUUUCUAAUACCAAGACUGAUCACAUAUUCUGUUAUGUUCUGACUUUGGAAACCAAUCCCAAUAGAAGUCAGUAGAAAUGUUUUGUUUCCCACUCUACUGACUGGUUUUGUGUGUUAACUUGACGCAACCUGGAGUUAUCACAGAGAAAAGAGCCUCCCUUGAGGAAAUGCCUCCAUGAGAUCCAGCUGUAAGGCAUUUUCUCAAUUAGGGAUCGAGGGUACGAGGGUCCCUUGUGGGUGGUGCCAGCCCUGGGCUGGUAGUCUUGGGUUCUAUAAGAAAGCAAGCUGAGCAAGCCAGGGGAAGCAAGCCAUUAAGAAACAUCCCUCUGUGGUCUCUGCAUUAGCUCCUGCCUUCAAGUUCCUGCCCUGUGUGAGUUCCAGUCCUGACUUCCUUUGGUGAUGAACAGCAGUAUGGAAGUGUAAGCUGAAUAAACCCUUUCCUCCCC
rnacentral:lncRNA from 1 species